rnacentral:rRNA from 1 species
AACAGGAUUAGAUACCCUGGUAGUCCACGCCGUAAACGAUGUCGACUUGGAGGUUGUGCCCUUGAGGCGUGGCUUCCGGAGCUAACGCGUUAAGUCGACCGCCUGGGGAGUACGGCCGCAAGGUUAAAACUCAAAUGAAUUGACGGGGGCCCGCACAAGCGGUGGAGCAUGUGGUUUAAUUCGAUGCAACGCGAAGAACCUUACCUACUCUUGACAUCCAGAGAACUUAGCAGAGAUGCUUUGGUGCCUUCGGGAACUCUGAGACAGGUGCUGCAUGGCUGUCGUCAGCUCGUGUUGUGAAAUGUUGGGUUAAGUCCCGCAACGAGCGCAACCCUUAUCCUUUGUUGCCAGCGGUUAGGCCGGGAACUCAAAGGAGACUGCCAGUGAUAAACUGGAGGAAGGUGGGGAUGACGUCAAGUCAUCAUGGCCCUUACGAGUAGGGCUACACACGUGCUACAAUGGCAUAUACAAAGAGAAGCGACCUCGCGAGAGCAAGCGGACCUCAUAAAGUAUGUCGUAGUCCGGAUUGGAGUCUGCAACUCGACUCCAUGAAGUCGGAAUCGCUAGUAAUCGUGGAUCAGAAUGCCACGGUGAAUACGUUCCCGGGCCUUGUACACACCGCCCGUCACACCAUGGGAGUGGGUUGCAAAAGAAGUAGGUAGCUUAACCUUCGGGAGGGCGCUUACCACUUUGUGAUUCAUGACUGGGGUGAAGUCGUAACAAGGUAACC